rnacentral:rRNA from 1 species
UGGGGAAUAUUGCACAAUGGGCGCAAGCCUGAUGCAGCCAUGCCGCGUGUGUGAAGAAGGCCUUCGGGUUGUAAAGCACUUUCAGCGAGGAGGAAGGGUGGUGUGUUAAUAGCACAUUGCAUUGACGUUACUCGCAGAAGAAGCACCGGCUAACUCCGUGCCAGCAGCCGCGGUAAUACGGAGGGUGCAAGCGUUAAUCGGAAUUACUGGGCGUAAAGCGCACGCAGGCGGUUUGUUAAGUCAGAUGUGAAAGCCCCGCGCUUAACGUGGGAACUGCAUUUGAAACUGGCAAGCUAGAGUCUUGUAGAGGGGGGUAGAAUUCCAGGUGUAGCGGUGAAAUGCGUAGAGAUCUGGAGGAAUACCGGUGGCGAAGGCGGCCCCCUGGACAAAGACUGACGCUCAGGUGCGAAAGCGUGGGGAGCAAACA